rnacentral:rRNA from 1 species
UACGGGGGGGGCAAGCGUUGUUCGGAAUUACUGGGCGUAAAGGGUUUGUAGGUGGCCGAUUAAGUCAUACGUGAAUGCCUCCUGCUAAGCUUGGGAACUGGGACGUCGUGUAUACUGGUUGGCUUGAGUGCAGGAGAGGAACGCGGAAUUCCAGGUGUAGCGGUGAAAUGCGUAGAUAUCUGGAGGAACACCGGUGGCGAAGGCGGCGUUUCUGGACUGCAACUGACACUGAGAAACGAAAGCCAGGGGAGCAAACGGG